CCUACGGGUGGCUGCAGUGGGGAAUAUUGGACAAUGGGGGCAACCCUGAUCCAGCCAUGCCGCGUGUGUGAAGAAGGCCCUCGGGUUGUAAAGCACUUUCAGUGAGGAAGAACGCCUGGUGGUUAAUACCCAUCAGGAAAGACAUCACUCACAGAAGAAGCACCGGCUAACUCCGUGCCAGCAGCCGCGGUAAUACGGAGGGUGCGAGCGUUAAUCGGAAUUACUGGGCGUAAAGCGCGCGUAGGUGGCUUGAUAAGCCGGUUGUGAAAGCCCCGGGCUCAACCUGGGAACGGCAUCCGGAACUGUCAAGCUAGAGUGCAGGAGAGGAAGGUAGAAUUCCCGGUGUAGCGGUGAAAUGCGUAGAGAUCGGGAGGAAUACCAGUGGCGAAGGCGGCCUUCUGGACUGACACUGACACUGAGGUGCGAAAGCGUGGGUAGCAAACAGGAUUAGAUACCCUGGCAGUC
rnacentral:rRNA from 1 species